GGAAUCUUCCACAAUGGACGAAAGUCUGAUGGAGCAACACCGCGUGAGUGAAGAAGGGUUUCGGCUCGUAAAGCUCUGUUGUUAAAGAAGAACACGUAUGAGAGUAACUGUUCAUACGUUGACGGUAUUUAACCAGAAAGUCACGGCUAACUACGUGCUAG
rnacentral:rRNA from 1 species